AGUUGGCAGUAGCUUUAGCUUCCCAUCUUCUGUAUUUCUUUCAGAAAACAACAUCAAUUUAUUUUUCAUAAAUAGAUGUUUUUUUCAAUGAUAUAAUGCCUUUCCACUGUUCAGUUUUCAACUGCAAAGGAAAUUAUGAUAUUGGUCCAAAAGUGUCCAUUUUUAAAUUUCCCGAGGACGAAAAGUUAAAAGCAUAGUGGACUCACAGGUUCCUUCGUAAGGAUUUCAAGCCAAGCAAAAGCUCAAGAGUGGUGCUUUUGUACUUGAAGAAUUACUGAUAUACUUUGAAUACUGAGCAGUGGCUUCUAAUAAUUUACUUCAGAAGAUUUUUACCGCAUGCUGCUGGAUAUAAUAUUCUUUAUUGAUGAUUAAUAGAUACUUUUGGAUGCUACUUUUGGAUUUGACUUGAGAAAAUUCAGACAUGUUUAGAACAUUGAAGAGUGAUGCUACUUUUGGAUUUGACUUGAGAAAAUUUAGGCAUGUUUAGAACAUUGAAGAGUGCAGGUGAUGCUUUUGGACAUAAUUCAAAGACUUUUCGGUGAAAAUUAAGCAGUGAUAAUUACUUUUUGAUUUCAAUUGAGAAUAUUCUGAUAUAUUUUGUAUAUUGACGAGUGAACUGUCAAUUAUGUGACUGAAAUUUCUUUGUGGUUGUGUGAUGUUUCAUCUCUUGAAGCGUGCUUAUGUUUUGAGUACUAAGACCACUGUAAAAGAUUUUCAUUCAGGUUAGAGAACUACUGGUAGUGUGAGGAAGAUAAUCUUUUCAUUGACUGGACUCUUCUUAUUUCACCUUUUACUUAUGAA